UGGUUUUAGAUAGUUAAGAGGGAUCUGAGCAAAAGUUUCGUUUCAGAAUUAAACCAGUUUAAAAAAACAUUAUAUAACAUUAUAUAAAUGUUUUCUAAUAACUAAAAAUAUUAAGUCAAUAAGGAAACUAUUUAAAGAACAAAAAAUUUGUUUUUUAAGUUAAGAGGGAUCUGAGCAAAAGUUUCGUUUUAGAAUUAAACAAGUUUAAAAAAACAUUAUAUAACAUUAUAUAAAUGUUUUCUAAUAACUAAAAAUAUUAAGUCAAUAAGGAAACUAUUUAAAGAACAAAAAAUUUGUCAUUACGAAUGUAAACACUAUGAGGCUAAACUAAAGAAUCAUGAAAGCGAAGUUGUUAUAUUGCCAAAUGUUUAGUGUAAUAAACCAGCUUAGUAUGUUUGUUGAUAUUUUACUUUAGUUUAACUGUCUAACUGUGUUUUAAUCUAGAAAUGUGAGCUUUGCAUAGCUGCGUGCGUAGCUGCGUUGCUGCUGCUAUAUUUGUUAGUUUAUUUUUUUUAACUACAUUGCUGCAUUGCAGAGUUUUACAGUCUUAAUUUUUUAAUGGGGGUAUUCUGCAGUUUAGCCAAUUGGUGAACAGUAAGCUUGUAUAGUUAGAGAGUUUAAUAUGAAAAAAUAGUAAGGUUCAGUAGUUAGUUAAAAUCUAUAGAUGACUCUAGAGAACUUCAAUGCUAAUUUUUGUUUGUUGUCAUUUAAAAGAACUUGUAAGACACAUGGCAAGGUUCAUUUCUACAUCAUGCACAUACACCUCAUGCAGCAAUUUUUUGACUUUGUUGUUCAAUUAUAACAAAUAAAUAUGCCAGGAUAGCUAAGGGAGUCUAUUUAGCUAACUAUUUAGUGAUGUCUGUCCACCCAGGUGGCUAUAUGUUACACUCGCCCAAAAAUAAAUCGUCGUUAAGGAUUUACUUACUAAAAACCAAUGCAUUUUGUGUGAGACUUAAGGAAGUGUUUUUAGAUACUGUUUUAAACUGCGUGUUGGACAAGAAUUGAUAGAGAUAGAUGGAUGUGCAUAUUUUACAUGGCUAGCCUCACUAUUAUCGAGGGAUAUACCCUGUCUAUUAUUUCCAGGAGGGGCCAUGGCUUAGAUGGAGAGUCCUAGAGUAGUUAAUGCUCGUUGAGCUACGACGCAGAUCCAGUUAGGGCCCACGCUCUACUAGACAACUCCCGGCAACAUCCAACGGCCCACACAUGGAGCCAUCUCUCCAAUUUCCCUCACAUGGCUUGGGUUAACCCGGGGCUAUGGUAACAUUCACUCACCCACGUUGAAUCGCCGUCAAGAGGAAUCGAACCCCGGUCUCCCGCACGCACGGCUGUUUCGCUACGGUCAAACCGCGGACAAAAUUAAAAUGGCUUCCACAAUUUUUUUUGAAAUUUUGUAUUUUUAUCAUUUUUUAAGUUUUUGAAACUUUUUUUGUAUUGUUUUAAUUUUACUGAAAUAAAAAGUAUUAAAACGACCUACUUUUCUUCUUUUUUAAUAUAUAAAUAUGUUAUACAUGUGUGUUAUGGAUUUCGAGUUAUUUCGUCGAAUAAAACACACAAAAUUAAAAAAAAACAUUAUUUUUGGCGAAAGUAUACCAUCUUUCCAACCUCGUGGCAACGCCGCGCUACUAGCUACGGACUUGAAAAUUGGUAUGGGGGGCCUGGAAACAUGGUUCUAUUGGCCGGUACCGUGCACCGUUCGUCUCGCAAACUAUAAACUACUUAAAUUUUAAGUUAAAGUCUUCUUUAGGCGCUAAAAAAGAGGAGAAAAAGUUGCCAAAGUGGUGCACGGCGAUUUGAUGUAGUGUGAUCCCUUUUCUGUCUAAUUAAAUAAUUAUCUAAACUUCUAAGAGAGUCAUAGCGAUGCCAUUUAAUGUUUUGUUAGGUAUGGUUUUUCUCAAAAAAAUUACGGCGGCGUGGUGUUUACCUUGGACUUGAUUGCUCGACCCGGGAAUCCUGGUUCGAAACCGGAAUUUUUCGAAAAUGUUGGAAUAAGCGAGACAACGGUGUCUUUGCAAUUUUUUAGCUAGCUAAAGUUUGGCAGAGCACGAGUUAAGACUUUGGUGGGCUUUCUCAAGAUGAAAUUGUUAAAAUCAAAGAUGUUUUUAGCUACCUAGCUAGCUAAUCUUGGCUUUAACACAAGAUUGGGUGCUAUUUUAUACAGUUUAUAAAGAAACACAAAAUGAUUGCUUUGUAUAUAUAUAAUAAAUAAAAUAUUUAUGCACAACUUGAGGUAUUUUCUUCUAGCAUGAUAAACUAAA